rnacentral:miRNA from 1 species
CACGUGUUCUCCUUCUCCAUC